rnacentral:rRNA from 1 species
GACCGAGGUGGCAAGCGUUGUUCGGAAUUAUUGGGCUUAAAGGGUGCGUAGGCGGCUUCGCAAGUGUCUUGUGAAAUCCCACGGCUCAACCGUGGAACUGUUGGGCAAACUGUGAAGCUUGAGGUCGGUAGAGGUGUCUGGAACUCCAGGUGGAGCGGUGAAAUGCUUAGAUAUCUGGAGGAACGCCUGAGGCGAAAGCGGGACACUGGGCCGAUUCUGACGAUGAGGCACGAAAGCGUGGGGAGCAAACAGG